AGCAGGCUGGCUUAAAGGUCUCUCCUUUAACCUUUAGGUAAGACUUUAAGGGAUAGGAAUCAAGGAUGCCCGCUUACUGGCAGCCCUGAUUCCAAAAGAAAGUAAGUAAGCUAAGUAUGUAGAUGCCGCGGUGUAGUACUUUCGGACGCGGGUUCGAUUCCCGCCGCCUCCACCA
rnacentral:tmRNA from 1 species